rnacentral:rRNA from 1 species
UACGGAGGGGCUAGCGUUGUUCGGAAUUACUGGGCGUAAAGGGCGCGUAGGCGGGAUGGCAAGUCGGUCGUGAAAUCCCUCGGCUCAACCGAGGAACGUCGAUCGAUACUGCUGUUCUUGAGGAUUGCAGAGGAGACUGGAAUUCCGGAUGUAGCGGUGAAAUGCGCAGAUAUCGGGAGGAACACCAAUGGCGAAGGCAGCUCGCUGGGACGU